GACGAACGCUGGCGGCGUGCCUAAUACAUGCAAGUAGAACGCUGAAGGAGGAGCUUGCUCUUCUGGAUGAGUUGCGAACGGGUGAGUAACGCGUAGGUAACCUGCCUGGUAGCGGGGGAUAACUAUUGGAAACGAUAGCUAAUACCGCAUAAGAGUAGAUGUUGCAUGACAUUUGCUUAAAAGGUGCAAUUGCAUCACUACCAGAUGGACCUGCGUUGUAUUAGCUAGUUGGUGGGGUAACGGCUCACCAAGGCGAGGAUACAUAGCCGACCUGGGAGGGGGAGCGGCCACACUGGGAGUGAGACACGGCCCAGACGCCUACGGGAGGCACCAGUAGGGAAUCUUCGGCAAUGGACGGAAGUCUGACCGCGCAACGCCGCGUGAGUGAAGAAGGUUGUCGGAUCGUAAAGCUCGGUUGUAAGAGAAGAACGAGUGUGAGAGUGGAAAGUUCACACUGUGACGGUAUCUUACCAGAAAGGGACGGCUAACUACGUG
rnacentral:rRNA from 1 species